rnacentral:misc_RNA from 1 species
GCGAUAUUUGCUUUGAAUAGGUCUUAAUCGCGAAUUUUCCCUCUCUUUAUGUACAAAGCCUUAGGGCCUCAAAUAAAUUCAUCAAUUUUUACUGAGCUUUUUUGGGUCAUAGUUCAACUUUCAUUUGAGAAUUAGGUACAUUGCCUGCUACACCCGGAAAACUUUGGUUCUGAUUUUGUCCAAAUCCCAUUUGAACAACACUAUUGAGAUCAUCCUCAAAGAAUGUGGGGACCUGAGGGGUAGGCUCAACAAAACCAUCUAGAGGAGGCAAUUGCAUACUUGAAUUUCUGAUCAAAUUAGGAUUCAAUGAGUUAAUUUGGAAAGGAAACUCUGUUCCUUUAUGAUAAUUUUGGUUUGGUUGAGAUUGAAAUCCAUAAGGAAAUGCUUGGGUUGAUGUUUCUGAUUGAUACAUGUUAUGUCCCAAUGAUCCCCUAGAUUGAAACAUAUCCUUGGAAAGAAGUGCUUCCAUAUUAAAGUCCAUUCUUGGAUUCACAGUAGCUAAUUUCAUUGAAAGGAACUCAACUUGACGUUGAAGUGAUUGUACAUAGUUAAUAAUCUCAUCAAGCAUUACAGCUUUUCCAGUCACCUUAUUGCAGCCUGGUACAAGAUCUUGUAAAAGCUUCAUUCUUUCACUAAU